UUUGACGGACAAGUAUAAUAUUGCAUGGGGACAUGUAAAUAUACUUUGUCCCAAUAUGUUAAUCCAAGCAGUACAUGAAGAUUUCAAGUUCAAGUCAAGAAUGAAAACAGAGGAAAUGCACAAGUCUCAUUUACAAGGUUUGUUCAUGUAGUCGUCAGAAAGACGAAGAUUGACUUGUUUAAGAAUAACGUUGUCAAGGUGGAUGGAAUUAAAAUAUAUCUACCAUAUAAAACUAGAUAUUUCAUUAUCAAAUAUUCAUGACGUUAAGUGAAACUACAUGUAAAGUUUUGGUAACAUGGGACGGGAACAGCGCAGUAACUAUAUCGGUACCCAGUCAUUUCAGCCGGAAUUUUAUUGACUUAUGUGGAAAUUGUAAUGGCAUUACAAAUGAUUUUAGAACAAAAAAAGGUUUUGAAGUGCGCACAAAACUGGACAAGUUUACGCUUAUUGGUGAAACAUACCUGAUUCGAGAAGGCAAUAGCGAAAAGUCGAAGAAAUCCACCUGAAUCACGUCCAUUGGUACACUAUGACGAAUGUGAUAACUAUUAACAUCAUCAGGAACAAUGUAUACCAGUACAGUUAGAGAAACGGAAACAAAGUAUUUCAACACUGUGGAAUACAAUUAUGUAUUU